rnacentral:lncRNA from 1 species
UGAAAAGAUGGAAGUAUAAACAAAGCAGUCGACAAGAUAAUGGAUGAAAAAGCAGAAGAAUACAUGAAAAGUCAAACCUUCAAGAGUUAGAAGAAGCUAGCAUGCCAGUUCCCAAGGAUG